GUGGUGUUUGGAUCGUCUCUGCCGGCUGGCUCCGUGCCCGUCCACCGAACGGCCGGCAGGCGAUCCGUGUCGGUCGCGCGAGGUGGUUUAUGUAUGGUUACCCAGAGGCUGGUUCUUGUGUUGCCUACCCCUUGAGGGGAAGCGCAGGCACUUGAUGUAGGCCUCCAUCCGGCGCCCUCCGAUGGGCGCCGGAGGACAGCGUAGCGCCCCCCGCGUUCCACCGAGCCCUCGUCGGUCGCGUGGCCCGCGGGGACGUGCGAUGCUCUCGGACCCAGCGCACGCCGUGGGCGAGGACUCACGUCCAAGUCCCAAGAGAAGCUUCUAUGCAAUGUAUGACGGCCGCUCCCGCCCCACGACCGCCCCGGCGGCGCGGGGGCGCGGCGCGGCGUCGCGGAGGAAUGCUACCUGGUUGAUCCUGCCAGUAGUCAUAUGCUUGUCU
rnacentral:misc_RNA from 1 species